rnacentral:lncRNA from 1 species
UCAUAACCUGGAAGGUAGCUGAAUUAUGUUGGUUAUAACAGAGUUACUAUGUCUAGCCCUGGUUCAAGAGGUUGGGCACAGACCUCACCUCUUAAUGAGAGGACUGUCAAAGAAUUUGCAGACAUGCUUGAAAAAUCACCAAACCUCCUUUAUGCUGAUGUUGCUAAGUCAACAUCUCUAGCCUAGUUCUUUCAUGUCAAAUUCAACAUGUUAAAAGCAUAUCUCUGAACUCCUCAAUUCUUUCCUUGGACAUUCCUUUAUCAAUAAAUAGAAGAAUCAUACAUCCAGAUGCUCAAGUCAAAAAUUUAGGAGGCAUUAUUGACAUCUCUCUCUCGUCCCUCCAUCCAAUAUAUCUGACAAUCUUGUACACUCAGCUUCUAAUUUAAAUCCCAUAUUGUACACCCCUCCACUCCCACUACCAGCAGCCCAGUCUAACCCCUCCAUCAUGAUCUCUCACCUGGAUCACUAUAUAACUAGCCUUUUACACUAUAAACCAGAUCAUGUCACUUUCUUGUUUAAUAUACUCCAAUGGUAUCCUGCUGCACAUAAAAUAAAAUCCAAAAUCUAACCCUGGCCUUAAAAGUUCUGAUCAGCCUCCUAUUAUCAUUAAUGCCUGCCUCACUCACAAUGCAUCAGCUGUAUCAACAGUACAGCAAGUACUAAUAUAUCUCAAAGCCUUUGUGCAGGAUGUGUCAUCAAUCUAGAAUGUUUUCCCUUCCUGUCUUGACCUGACUGACUCCUACUCAUCAGUUCUCACCCGAAAGGUCUUGUCUCUCAUGCUUUGUCCUCCAUGAUGAAAAAAGCUAUGUGCUUGCUUCCACUAUAGUCUGUAUUGUUCUUAUUCAUCUCAUUUCAUUGCAAUCUCCUACUACACUAAGCCCUGGGAGGAAGAGCUGUUCAUGUAUACCACUGUGUAGGGCCAAAACCAUGGUCUAAACUCUGAAAAUACUUAUUGAAAAAAAAUAAAUAACUUCUGAGCUGGGCUUUUAAAGGAUGACUCCGAAUUUAUCAAGCAAAGAGGAGAUGGCAUUCAACAUGGAUGCACAAAGACCCAGAAGUGAGAGAGACCAUGAUGAAGUAUAUGGCCAAAUUCAUUUGUCCUAAAUUCCAGGCAUGCAUUCUACCCAUUAGGAUGGAUGGUGAGUAUAAUGACUCUGGACUUAGGAGCUGGUGGUGGAGGACCAUAACCUAUCAUCAUCUAAUUGAGAAUAUGGUUGCAUGCCAUCAUUUUGCUGACUUGUCAUCACAGAAAGUUGGCUUCUAUAGACAAAGAAAGCUAAUAGCAGCACAUAUUGGCCCUAGGCUUGAUGGCUCUAUUCUAGGCCAACUUCCUAAAGACCCAGUCUUAUAUUUUCCCAUCCUUGUAGCCACUUUUCAGCUUUGCUGCACAACACGCACAUUCAUUCCCACUAUUUCAAAGCAUUCAGACCCUCUCUCAGAUCAUUAAAGGGCCAAAUGAAAUGAACAUAAGUCGAUGAAGGAUAACAAUAACACCGCUAGGUCCUGUUGUAGGCUACUCAGCUUUAUUAUAGUCUCAGAACAACCCUGAAGGCUGCACCAGGCUUGGGGCUUGGGACUCUGUAUUGUAGCGGAUGGAGUUUUAUGCCUGAAGGUGUCAUGCUGGGUAAAGGCUCUAUGAUCUUUAUAGAUUUUAAGCUGCGUCCUCUGCCUGAAAUACAUAUCUAGCCCAGAAUUAUACCAUUCCCUUCCCUGCCUUUUAAUGGGAGUAGAACUAGGGAGGUUUAAUAAAUGUUUAUUGGCAAAGUAGAGAGAUAGCUCCUAGUAGAAACAGCAUAAGCCAGAGAAAUCCAAAGUCUUAGUCACUACAUUCUCUCUUUACUGAACAGAUGCUACUGACUCUGAUAUUGUCUAAUCUCCUCGAGCCACAAGCAUGCUGAGCUAGUCUCCUGUAUGAAUUUCAGCCAAAUUUUCCAGGUUUCUGUGGCACUGGCAGGUCUCCUCUAGGUUAAAGUCAGUAGGAAAUGGUGCCCAAGGCUGGUGUUCUGGUAGGUAGUGCUUCACUUGGGAGUCUGUUCUAGGCAUUUUUGGCUUUGGUCAUCUACACUAUAAUCCCCUUAAAGGAGCCAUGAUGACAGAUGCAUCAUGGCUUGAACCUUGGGCAGAUGGCCAUCUCCUCUUAUAAGUAUUAAUAUGUCAUCAUUUGAAAGGCUUUGACUGGGAGUGGUACCCAUCAAAAUGCAUAAGAACUAGAUACCAACAUGGUUGUGGGGAAAGCUGGUGAUGAUUAGAACAAAUGCGAAUGGUCGAAAGACACAGGAACUGGGAGGCAAGAACACUGAGUUCUAAUCUGGGUUAUAACACUGUCAGCUGUAUGAAUUUGGGCAAGUCACUUAAUGUCUAUGUAACAUAAAUAUAAUGAGAAAAAUUUUUCAGAGAACACUAGGAUUAAAUGGAAGAUCACUGGAGUCCUUAAUUGCCAUUCUAUAUAGGGAAUGAAUCUUCUAAUCCAAACACUGUUACUGUGGGUGAAGUCACCAAGAUGGCGAGAUAGAAGUCAUUCUUGAUUUUGCUCUCCCCUCAUGAGAAGAACAAUUAAAAACUACUCAUGGACAAAACACCACUGAGAGAAUCCUAGAACAUGACAGUGAAGGUGACCCCCCCAACCCGUGCACAAUAGAGGCCAAGACAGAUGGUAUUAGAAAGGUAAAAGGAGUGACUACAUGCUGACUGCAUCCCCCUCCACCAGCCCAGUGCAACAUUAUGUAGAAAGAUAUCCUGUGAGCCCAGUUUCUUCAAUGGGAAGAGAGCCCAGGGGUGACAUCCAGCUUACCCCAAGCAUUGUGGAUUGCUUUAUUAGAGCCCCCACUCCGUUUUCUUCCCCAUAGAGAUUGCAGUGGAAUCUGUGGGGCUCAACCACUUGAAAUAUGAUUGUGACAUAGAAGGGGAGAGGGACUUCCAACAGCCAGUACACAGAUCUUGGCAAACCAAGUUCAUAGCUGCAGAGACUAGUAGUUCCCAAUUAGUGGCUUUGCUCUUCUGCAGACCCAAGUCAGUGGUACAGUUUGAACAGGGAACUUGGUGCAGUGAAGGUAUGCUAGAUUUGGGUCCUAGAGUGAGGAGCUUUGUCAGCUUUGGAGCCCAGUCCACCCACACUCAGGCAGGAGAGUUGAGUCAUAGCCUCAGCCACUGCAGAACAUGGCUCCCAGCCCUAUCUUACAGGAAAGGAUGGCAAGAAUACCUAGAAUUUGUGUAAAAAAGCAGGGCUUUAGCUGAGAGUAGAGUAGUCAGAGCUUAGUGACCCCAGAGAAACUUCAGUGGCCCUAUUCAGGCAGGGAGCUUGGGGUAUGAGUCAGCUUGAGUCAUAACCACAAACAGAGAGCCUUAGUCCCUGGAGAGACUUCUUCCACUGCACCCAGGAAGGGAAACUAAUUUGUAGCCACACUUAUUGCUGAAUAUAGCUUUUAGCCUGCCUAGCAGGGAACCUAAUCAGAGUACAUGAGGAGCUGCAUAGCCCAUCCAGCAACCCUGCUUAUAGUGGCACUUGAACUGAGAACACAGCCUGUGGCUUUCCCUGUCUGCAGAGCAAAAUCAGUAGCCUUGCCUGAUCAAGAUAUUCAGUCUAAAUUCUUUCCUGAAUCAGGUACCCAGACAAUAAGUUGAACAGGCCAGGCCCUAGGUCCGAUCCUUCUGACCUGCCAGGGCAGAAAGCUAAUUCACAGUCUCAUUUACUACAUAGUAUAGCACCCAGUCCCAAUGUCUAGGAAGACUGACCAGAGGAUCCAAGCAACCACAGAACCCAUUCUACAGUCUUAUUUGGGCAGAAAACGAAGUCAGCAGUCCUAUCCAGUUGUUCUCGUUCAGUGGCACAACCCCCUUCAUCUCAGAGCUCAAACAGUUGUCUCACCCAAAAACAGACAGGUCCCACCUGCACAAAUAUAUUACCAGAAGAUGCAUUUAGAGACCCAAACUGACCUGACUUGUGAAGAACUGUCUCUGCCAAGACAAAUCUGCAAAGACUGAAAGAGGAGACUACUUAUUCAAAGGCACAAAUUCUAGAGCUGAAAAAUACAAUAACUAAACUGAAGAAUUUGAGAACUUUGAAAACAGACAUAGCCAUGCAGAAGAAAGAAAUCAGUGACCUGGAAAUUAGGACAUUUGAAAUUAUCCUGACAAAGAAGAAAGAUAAAAGAAUGAAAAAGAGUGAAGGAACACUAUGGGACUUAUUGAACACAAUGAAAUGGAAGAAUAUUUGCAUUAUGAG